AUUUCCCACAUAGUCUGCAUUAAUAGAGUCAUUUUGUAGUUUUUAUAGUUUUUAUAGCUUUUUAUAGCUGCUAGGCGUAAAGAGUUCACCGUCAAAGCGGGAUGUUUAUUGCGGGGGAGGAGCCACGGCGGCAAACGUGAUCGUAAUUUCCGUAGAGUGGUGGAGAGAUGACGUAUGUUGGCCAACCCGGAAGUGAGCGUCGCCCUGGAUUCCCUCUACAAAAAGCCAACGGGUUUUGCCAUUGGAUUUUUACGGUGGCCGAGAGGGGUCACAACACAUGCAAACGCCACAACACCUGCAUAUACAGAAAACACCUGCAAAUUCAGAAAACACCUGCAAAUUCAGAAAACACUUUCAUCGAUUACACAACACGUGCGCUGCAAAUGCCAAAACACAUGCAAAUUCAGAAAAACACCUGCAAAUUCAGAAAAACACAUGCAAACUCAGAAAACACCUGCAUCGACUUCAUAACAUGAGCAAAUAGGGAAACGAACUGCAAGUUAUGACAAUGGAAAUGUGUCCCGGGGGACCAUAAUCAGUGACGGACCCAUAUCCGGUUGGCGGUUCUUUUCAAUUACGAAGGUGUUAAGUCGUUUGAUUGUGCUACAAGAGAUUGACAUGUUCUGCCCGUUUUGUGUGGUGCAACUGGGGGGCGCUCCCAAGUUUUGCCCGUCAUGUGGGCAGAAUGUGGAGUUCCUUACACAGCUUCCAUCAACUCCAUCCACCUUGUCAAGCGAAGGCUAUGGGCCUACAGAUUUCGAUUGGCAUCAUGUCAAGGACCAAGAAUGGGACCUCUUAAGACCCAAUCGCCCACCGGUGGGCGAUUGGGUUUGUUGACAAUAUGUUUCCACUACGGAGCGACAUAACCCGCUUCAACUUUCAUCAUUACAGACAUUCUAUACGUCGUUAGAAAGGGUAGAAUCUCCACAAUUUAUUCAUCCGGUUGAUUUUUUCUAUAAAUCAUGAGCACAAAACCAUAAAUAUUGAUAUUUACCAGCAUGGUAAACCGGAAAUGCCAAAAAACAGUGACUCCCUACCUUUGAAGCAAUCUGAGAACCGUAAUAUGUGUCCAUUCCUCAAUUAUUUAUAUUCC
ensembl:lncRNA